ACUCAAAUGAAUAGACGGGGGCCCGCACAAGCGGCGGAGCAUGUGGAUUAAUUCGAUGCAACGCGAAGAACCUUACCUGGGUUUGACAUACACCAGAAAGCCGUAGAGAUACGGCCCCCCUUGUGGUUGGUGUACAGGUGGUGCAUGGCUGUCGUCAGCUCGUGUCGUGAGAUGUUGGGUUAAGUCCCGCAACGAGCGCAACCCUUGUCCUGUGUUGCCAGCGCGUGAUGGCGGGGACUCGCAGGAGACUGCCGGGGUCAACUCGGAGGAAGGUGGGGACGACGUCAAGUCAUCAUGCCCCUUAUGUCCAGGGCUUCAAACAUGCUACAAUGGCCGGUACAGAGGGCUGCGAGACCGUGAGGUGGAGCGAAUCCCUUAAAGCCGGUCUCAGUUCGGAUCGGGGUCUGCAACUCGACCCCGUGAAGUUGGAGUCGCUAGUAAUCGCAGAUCAGCAACGCUGCGGUGAAUACGUUCCCGGGCCUUGCACACACCGCCCGU
rnacentral:rRNA from 1 species